GCAGUGUAAACGCAUUUUCCUCUGAAUAGAGUAGUUAUAACAAUAGGCAGAGUAAACUCGUCCAAAUGGUAGUGUCAAAAGUGAGAGUAAAAAAGUGAGUGUCAACAUUUCAGUGUAAAUCUAUUUUUCUCUUGAUAGAGAGGUUAUAACAAUAGGCAGAGUAACUCCUCAGACAAAAUAACUCUGCAGGGUGAUGAUUCCCCGCGAAAAUUCUAGAACCGGAGCUGGAGCUGGCAUGGCAUGUUGGAAGUCGUUUCUCUCCCUGCGUGAAAAUGCUGUUGCGUGUCUCAUUUGGUGGAGUGCAGAAGUACAUAAAGAUGCUUGAACUGACGUUUGAUGAUUUCUUGAGAGAAGUGAGUUUGAAGUUCAACAUCCCCGAAGACAGAUGGUUGGACCUCAAAGUUUAUGACCAGUCUAACACAGAGGUAGACGCCGAGGUUUUUGAGGAGCUCGUAAAAGAGUUCCAUGGACCUUUCCUAGUUUCAUUGGCCAAUGGAGCACCUGGUAA